rnacentral:rRNA from 1 species
UACAGAGGUCCCAAGCGUUGUUCGGAUUCACUGGGCGUAAAGGGUGCGUAGGCGGUCGGGUAAGUUUGAUGUGAAAUCUCUGGGCUUAACCCAGAAAUGGCAUUGAAUACUAUUCGGCUAGAGAGUCGGAGGGGGGACUGGAAUUCCUGGUGUAGCGGUGAAAUGCGCAGAUAUCAGGAGGAACACCAAUGGCGAAGGCAGCUCGCUGGGACGGUACUGACGCUGAGACGCGAAAGCGUGGGGAGCAAACAGG